GGGCUACACACGUGCUACAAUGGCUGGUACAACGAGUUGCGAGUCGGUGACGGCGAGCUAAUCUCUUAAAGCCAAUCUCAGUUCGGAUUGUAGGCUGCAACUCGCCUACAUGAAGUCGGAAUCGCUAGUAAUCGCGGAUCAGCACGCCGCGGUGAAUACGUUCCCGGGCCUU
rnacentral:rRNA from 1 species